UAAGUCCUGCGCUGUUCGCGAACCGCGCUUUUAUAACCCUACAAUUUUAAUUUAAGGGACCUUUGCUCGGGUAGUGGGCUUGCAGACCUCCCGCGGCUGUGCCGGUUACGGAAGAAGGGAGCGCGAAGCUGCUCGGCGGGAACCCACCUGAAUAACAUCAGGUUAUCUUUAGCCGCUACGGCAGGGCGGGACGAUU
rnacentral:other from 1 species